rnacentral:misc_RNA from 1 species
UCCUCGUUGACCAAGGCAGUCUCGUAUGAAAAAUACAACAUACGAUAAGGGUUGCGCUCGUUGCGGGACUUAACCCAACAUUUCACAACACGAGCUGACGACGACCAUGCAUCACCUGUCACUAGUCCAGCCGGACUGACCUCUUUGUUUCCAAAGAGUACGACUAGGAUGUCAAGUCUCGGUAAGGUUCUUCGCUUAGCUUCGAAUUAAACCACACGCUCCACCGCUUGUGCGGGUCCCCGUCAAUUCCUUUGAGUUUUAGCCUUGCGGCCGUACUCCCCAGGCGGGGUACUUAACGCGUUAGCUUCGAUACCCAGGGGGUCUAUUCCCCGAAUACCUAGUACCCAUCGUUUACGGCGUGGACUAC